UCAGGAUGAACGCUAGCGACAGGCUUAACACAUGCAAGUCGAGGGGCAGCAUAAAAGUAGCAAUACUUGGUGGCGACCGGCGCACGGGUGAGUAACGCGUAUGCAACCUACCUAUCAGAGGGGAAUAACCCGGCGAAAGUCGGACUAAUACCGCAUAAAACAGGGGCACCGCAUGGUGAUAUUUGUUAAAGAAAUUCGCUGAUAGAUGGGCAUGCGUUCCAUUAGGUAGUUGGUGAGGUAACGGCUCACCAAGCCGACGAUGGAUAGGGGAACUGAGAGGUUGGUCCCCCACACUGGUACUGAGACACGGACCAGACUCCUACGGGAGGCAGCAGUGAGGAAUAUUGGUCAAUGGGCGAGAGCCUGAACCAGCCAAGUCGCGUGAAGGAAGAAGGAUCUAUGGUUCGUAAACUUCUUUUGCAGGGGAAUAAAGUGCAGGACGUGUCCUGUUUUGUAUGUACCCUGAGAAUAAGGAUCGGCUAACUCCGUGCCAGCCGCAGC
rnacentral:rRNA from 1 species